UACGAGGGGGGGCGAGCGUUGUUCGGAAUUAUUGGGCGUAAAGGGUGCGUAGGCGGUUUGGUAAGUCUGAUGUGAAAUCUAUGGGCUCAACUCAUAGUCUGCAUCGGAAACUGCCGGGCUUGAGUGUGGGAGAGGUGAGUGGAAUUCCUGGUGUAGCGGUGAAAUGCGUAGAUAUCAGGAGGAACACCGGUGGUGUAGACGGCUCACUGGACCGUAACUGACGCUGAAACACGAAAGCGUGGGUAGCAAACAGG
rnacentral:rRNA from 1 species